CUAAGGGCGUUGAAGCAUGAUCGUAAGGACAUGUGGAGCGCUUAGAAGUGAGAAUGCCGGUGUGAGUAGCGAAAGACGGGUGAGAAUCCCGUCCACCGAUUGACUAAGGUUUCCAGAGGAAGGCUCGUCCGCUCUGGGUUAGUCGGGUCCUAAGCUGAGGCCGACAGGCGUAGGCGAUGGAUAACAGGUUGAUAUUCCUGUACCACCUAUAAUCGUUUUAAUCGAUGGGGGGACGCAGUAGGAUAGGCGAAGCGUGCGAUUGGAUUGCACGUCUAAGCAGUAAGGCUGAGUAUUAGGCAAAUCCGGUACUCGUUAAGGCUGAGCUGUGAUGGGGAGAAGACAUUGUGUCUUCGAGUCGUUGAUUUCACACUGCCGAGAAAAGCCUCUAGAUAGAAAAUAGGUGCCCGUACCGCAAACCGACACAGGUAGUCAAGAUGAGAAUUCUAAGGUGAGCGAGCGAACUCUCGUUAAGGAACUCGGCAAAAUGACCCCGUAACUUCGGGAGAAGGGGUGCUCUUUAGGGUUAACGCCCAGAAGAGCCGCAGUGAAUAGGCCCAAGCGACUGUUUAUCAAAAACACAGGUCUCUGCUAAACCGUAAGGUGAUGUAUAGGGGCUGACGCCUGCCCGGUGCUGGAAGGUUAAGAGGAGUGGUUAGCUUCUGCGAAGCUACGAAUCGAAGCCCCAGUAAACGGCGGCCGUAACUAUAACGGUCCUAAGGUAGCGAAAUUCCUUGUCGGGUAAGUUCCGACCCGCACGAAAGGCGUAACGAUUUGGGCACUGUCUCAACGAGAGACUCGGUGAAAUCAUAGUACCUGUGAAGAUGCAGGUUACCCGCGACAGGACGGAAAGACCCCGUGGAGCUUUACUGUAGCCUGAUAUUGAAAUUCGGCACAGCUUGUACAGGAUAGGUAGGAGCCUUUGAAACGUGAGCGCUAGCUUACGUGGAGGCGCUGGUGGGAUACUACCCUAGCUGUGUUGGCUUUCUAACCCGCACCACUUAUCGUGGUGGGAGACAGUGUCAGGCGGGCAGUUUGACUGGGGCGGUCGCCUCCUAAAAGGUAACGGAGGCGCUCAAAGGUUCCCUCAGAAUGGUUGGAAAUCAUUCAUAGAGUGUAAAGGCAUAAGGGAGCUUGACUGCGAGACCUACAAGUCGAGCAGGGUCGAAAGACGGACUUAGUGAUCCGGUGGUUCCGCAUGGAAGGGCCAUCGCUCAACGGAUAAAAGCUACCCCGGGGAUAACAGGCUUAUCUCCCCCAAGAGUUCACAUCGACGGGGAGGUUUGGCACCUCGAUGUCGGCUCAUCGCAUCCUGGGGCUGUAGUCGGUCCCAAGGGUUGGGCUGUUCGCCCAUUAAAGCGGUACGCGAGCUGGGUUCAGAACGUCGUGAGACAGUUCGGUCCCUAUCCGUCGUGGGCGUAGGAAAUUUGAGAGGAGCUGUCCUUAGUACGAGAGGACCGGGAUGGACAUACCUCUGGUGUACCAGUUGUCGUGCCAACGGCAUAGCUGGGUAGCUAUGUGUGGACGGGAUAAGUGCUGAAAGCAUCUAAGCAUGAAGCCCCCCUCAAGAUGAGAUUUCCCAACUUCGGUUAUAAGAUCCCUCAAAGAUGAUGAGGUUAAUAGGUUCGAGGUGGAAGCAUGGUGACAUGUGGAGCUGACGAAUACUAAUCGAUCGAAGACUUAAUCAA
rnacentral:rRNA from 1 species